CAGUAGCCGCGGUAAUACAGAGGGUGCGAGCGUUAAUCGGAUUUACUGGGCGUAAAGCGUGCGUAGGCGGCUUCUUAAGUCGGAUGUGAAAUCCCUGAGCUUAACUUAGGAAUUGCAUUCGAUACUGGGAAGCUAGAGUAUGGGAGAGGAUGGUAGAAUUCCAGGUGUAGCGGUGAAAUGCGUAGAGAUCUGGAGGAAUACCGAUGGCGAAGGCAGCCAUCUGGCCUAAUACUGACGCUGAGGUACGAAAGCAUGGGGAGCAAACAGGAUUAGAUACCCCUGUAGUCCCUGUCUCUAUACA
rnacentral:rRNA from 1 species